UUUCCGUCGGUGAACCUGCGGAAGGAUCAUUAUUGUAUAACCGAGGUGCGAGGGCUGUCGCUGACCCGAAAGGUCGUGCACGCCCGAGUGCUCUCACACACAUCCAUCUCACCCCUAUGUGCACCACCGCGUGGGUCCCCCUUUGGCUUGUUCGGAGGGGGGCUUACGUUUUCACACAAACUUUGUAUGCAGUGUAGAAUGUAUUUUUUGUUUUUGCGAUCACGCAAUCAAUACAACUUUCAACAACGGAUCUCUUGGCUCUC
rnacentral:misc_RNA from 1 species